rnacentral:rRNA from 1 species
GACGUAGGGGGCCAGCGUUGUUCGGAAUUACUGGGUGUAAAGGGUUCGUAGGCGGUGUGGCAAGUCGGGAGUGAAAUCUCUGGGCUCAACUCAGAGACUGCUUCCGAAACUGCUGUGCUGGAGUGUGGGAGAGGCGCGUGGAAUUGCAGGUGUAGCGGUGAAAUGCGUAGAUAUCUGCAGGAACACCCGUGGCGAAAGCGGCGCGCUGGACCACUACUGACGCUGAGGUGCGAAAGCUAGGGGAGCAAACGGG